GGAGGCAAGCUGAGUUUCUCUUAAGUCUAGUUUGUAGGCGAGGAGCGCGGGAUUUAGCUAGUUUCUUCAGGAGUCAUUUUCGUCGGUUUAGUUCUUGUGUUGUGGCCUAGUGUGGUCUUUCGGUAUGUUUGGUUUUUGUUUUUGUUUAGCAGUAACUGGUUGGUUUUGUUGGGUUAUCUUUGUUGUUUCUUUUAGUUGUUGUGGUUGUUUUGG
rnacentral:lncRNA from 1 species